AAUUAAUUCAUGUUUAGCAGAGACAAGAUAAGCGCGAUAGAGAAACACCAUUUCAAUCCUUUUUCCCCUAUCAUGAAGGACAGUGAAUAUGUGAUGUAUCUUUGGCAUGAAACUGAAAUGAGAAGGAAAUAAAAGGAGGAUCGAAAGAAGAUGAUGCAGAAACAAGCAGAUGUAGAUAGUGAU